GAUGAACGCUGGCGGCGUGCCUAAUACAUGCAAGUCGAGCGAACAGAUGAGGAGCUUGCUCCUCUGACGUUAGCGGCGGACGGGUGAGUAACACGUGGAUAACCUACCUAUAAGACUGGGAUAACUUCGGGAAACCGGAGCUAAUACCGGAUAAUAUAUUGAACCGCAUGGUUCAAUAGUGAAAGACGGUUUUGCUGUCACUUGUAGAUGGAUCCGCGCCGCAUUAGCUAGUUGGUAAGGUAACGGCUUACCAAGGCAACGAUGCGUAGCCGACCUGAGAGGGUGAUCGGCCACACUGGAACUGAGACACGGUCCAGACUCCUACGGGAGGCAGCAGUAGGGAAUCUUCCGCAAUGGGCGAAAGCCUGACGGAGCAACGCCGCGUGAGUGAUGAAGGUCUUCGGAUCGUAAAACUCUGUUAUUAGGGAAGAACAAAUGUGUAAGUAACUAUGCACGUCUUGACGGUACCUAAUCAGAAAGCCACGGCUAACUACGUG
rnacentral:rRNA from 1 species